GUUGUUCUGCCAAGAGCAUCGCAGCGUAGCUAAGUUUGGAAAGGAUAAACGCUGAAAGCAUCUAAGCGUGAAGCCAACUCUAAGAUGAAUCUUCUCUAAGCUCUCUAGAAGACUACUAGUUUGAUAGGCUGGGUGUGUAAUGGAUGAAAGUCCUUUAGCUGACCAGUACUAAUAGAGCGUUUGGCUUAUCUUU
rnacentral:rRNA from 1 species